GCACUUGCUUUGACAGCCCAUAUGCUAACAUCGGAACAAUACGGGAAAGAUUAGCAUGUCCCCAGUGCAAGAAUGACAAGCAAAUUUAUGAAGCGUUCCAUAUUUUU
rnacentral:snRNA from 1 species